rnacentral:rRNA from 1 species
GACGAACGCUGGCGGCGUGCCUAAUACAUGCAAGUUGAGCGCUGAAGGUUGGUACUUGUACCGACUGGAUGAGCAGCGAACGGGUGAGUAACGCGUGGGGAAUCUGCCUUUGAGCGGGGGACAACAUUUGGAAACGAAUGCUAAUACCGCAUAAAAACUUUAAACACAAGUUUUAAGUUUGAAAGAUGCAAUUGCAUCACUCAAAGAUGAUCCCGCGUUGUAUUAGCUAGUUGGUGAGGUAAAGGCUCACCAAGGCGAUGAUACAUAGCCGACCUGAGAGGGUGAUCGGCCACAUUGGGACUGAGACACGGCCCAAACUCCUACGGGAGGCAGCAGUAGGGAAUCUUCGGCAAUGGACGAAAGUCUGACCGAGCAACGCCGCGUGAGUGAAGAAGGUUUUCGGAUUGUAAAACUCUGUUGGUAGAGAAGAACGUUGGUGAGAGUGGAAAGCUCAUCAAGUGACGGUAACUACCCAGAGAGGGGCGGCUAACUACGUG